UAGGAAUCAGAAGUGCCCUGGAUGCUACAUGCUAUUUGGCUUUACUUGAAGAGCAGAGAAAACUAUCAUAGCUGUUGAACAAGAAUCCAGUCAAAUGAAAAACAAAAAGGAGAAACCCAUUUACACUGGCUUUUUGCCUCUACAAAGGUCCUACAGGGGGAGAUGACAUUUACCCCAGUAGCCUAAGAACCUGGAGAAUUUGCCCCUAGGCAUGUGUCUUGAUCCUACCCCCAGGAUCAGCGAAGUGGAGCCCAAAUACUAUGCAGAUGGGGAAGAUGCAUAUGCAAUGAAGCGGGACCUCACGCAGAUGGCUGAUGAGGUAAGAGUUCAGCCAGGCCAGGGCAGCAAUUCCAGCAGUAGAGGAGAUUCUGUAAUUGGGAAAGGUGUCUAUUUUCAGUGAGACCACAGAAAGUACAGAUGUCAAAGAGCUGUGAGACAGAGUGAGGCAGUGGCGACUAGAGGCAAGACCGAGACUGAGUGUCAGCUUUUGUGGUUGUAAAGCUAGGAAUCAGAGCCCCUCUUUCCCUUACUCCCUAAGCUGUCAAGUCAGGGCAUGGCCUUCAUUGACUGUAAAGGAGGCCAUGGGAUGCUUUCUGGGGAAGAAGUCUGGAGAUGGGUGGAAUAGGAGAGACAGUAGGAAGAUUUUUUUUUUAACAGAGGAAUUGGGACUACUAUGGUUGGGGGCAGCCUGCUCAGAUCUAGGAUUAAACUGGGCUAGGGAGAAAGGGUCUCUCUGACCAAGCCUCCUGGAAAGGCACUGCUCUGUCUUGGGGGCUUCCCAGCAGCGUAUUUGAGGGCAAUAGAACUCAUGUCAUUUUACAGAUGAAGCAGGCUUAGGACAGAGGUAGGAUUGAACUACAUUUCUACCCAGUCCUAUUUCCUGCCUUGGCCCUACCACUUCUCACUGUGUCCCUUCCCCCAGCCAGCCCCAGGGCCUGGCUCCUCUUGUCUCCUGUCUGGAGACUUAGGCCCUGUCUCUUUCCACCCGCUUCCCUCUGGGCUCCCGGCGGCAGCUGAGGCGGCACCUGGAGCUGAAGGAAAAGGGCAGGCACAUGGUGCUGUCGGCCAUGGAGAACAAGGCGGAGAACAAAGGCAACGUGCUUCUGAGCUCAGGAGAGGCCUGUCGUGAGGAGAAGGGCCUGACUGCUGAGGAUAGUGGUGGGGACAGCAAGGACCUCAGUGAGGUCAGUGAGACCACAGAAAGCACAGAUGUCAAAGACAGCUCAGAGGCCUCUGAUUCUGCCUCCUAGAACCUGCCCUACCUGGUCCCAACCUCACCCCAUGUGCUUUUUACAAUAAAUGUCACCCAGUGGCCUUGGGAAAUUUGUGAAUGUGCAUAGUGGGGUAUGCUUUUUUUCCAGCUCCUAUAUGGCAGGGAUACUAUCUUCACAGCCCAGAGCGUACUGAGCUCACAAGUCAAAUGUUUGAGGAUGGGACCCCAAUCUGGCUUCCUUCAACAACUGAGUUGGAGUUGGCAGAUAAACUGUCUUGGGUGCCAUAUUCUCAUGUCACUUUCCUGGCCUUCUACAGAUCUCUGUAACAUCUUUAGUAAUUUUCUAGGGCUGAACAAAAUGAUUUC
rnacentral:lncRNA from 1 species